GUGCUUGCUUCAGUAGCACAUACACUAAAAUUGAAAUGAUACAGAGAUCAGCAUGACCCCUGCCUAAGGAUGACAUGGAAAUUUGUGAAGUGUUCCAUAUUAAA